rnacentral:rRNA from 1 species
GUGGGGAAUAUUGGACAAUGGGCGAAAGCCUGAUCCAGCCAUGCCGCGUGUGUGAAGAAGGUCUUCGGAUUGUAAAGCACUUUAAGUUGGGAGGAAGGGCAGUAAGUUAAUAACUUGCUGUUUUGACGUUACCGUCAGAAUAAGCACCGGCUAACUUCGUGCCAGCAGCCGCGGUAAUACGAAGGGUGCAAGCGUUAAUCGGAAUUACUGGGCGUAAAGCGCGCGUAGGUGGUUUUGUAAGUUGGAGGUGAAAUCCCCGGGCUCAACCUGGGAACUGCAUCCAAAACUGCCUGACUAGAGUACGGGAGAGGGUAGUGGAAUUUCCUGUGUAGCGGUGAAAUGCGUAGAUAUAGGAAGGAACACCAGUGGCGAAGGCGACUACCUGGACUGAUACUGACACUGAGGUGCGAAAGCGUGGGGAGCAAACAGGAUUAGAUACCCGAGUAGUCC